rnacentral:tRNA from 1 species
UGGCUCAUUGGUUUAAGUGUUCAGCUGCUAACUGAAAAGUUGGUGGUUUGAAUCUACC